AACGAACGCUGGCGGCAGGCUUAACACAUGCCAGUCGAGCGCCCCGCCAGGGGAGCGGCCGACGGGUGAGUAACGCGUGGGAACGUACCUUUUGGUUCGGAACAACUCCGGGAAACUGGAGCUAAUACCGGAUAAGCCCUAACGGGGAAAGAUUUAUCGCCGAAAGAUCGGCCCGCGUCUGAUUAGCUAGUUGGUGAGGUAACGGCUCACCAAGGCGACGAUCAGUAGCUGGUCUGAGAGGAUGAUCAGCCACACUGGGACUGAGACACGGCCCAGACUCCUACGGGAGGCAGCAGUGGGGAAUAUUGGACAAUGGGCGCAAGCCUGAUCCAGCCAUGCCGCGUGAGUGAUGAAGGCCUUAGGGUUGUAAAGCUCUUUUGUCCGGGAAGAUAAUGACUGUACCGGAAGAAUAAGCCCCGGCUAACUUCGUG
rnacentral:rRNA from 1 species